CAGCACCUCAAGUGGUCAGGAUGAUUAUUGGGCCUAAAGCAUCCGUAGCCGGCGCUGUAAGUUUUCGGUUAAAUCUAUACGCUCAACGUACAGGCUGCCGGGAAUACUGCAGCGCUAGGGAGUGGGAGAGGUAGACGGUACUCGGUAGGAAGGGGUAAAAUCCUUUGAUCUAUUGAUGACCACCUGUGGCGAAGGCGGUCUACCAGAACACGUCCGACGGUGAGGGAUGAAAGCUGGGGGAGCAAACCGGAUUAGAUACCCGAGUAGUCC
rnacentral:rRNA from 1 species